CGCGCAGGCGGGAAAUUAAGUCAGUGGUGAAAUCCUGCAGCUUAACUGUAGAAUUGCCAUUGAUACUGAUUUUCUUGAGUGCAGUUGAGGUGGGCGGAAUGUGUAAUGUAGCGGUGAAAUGCUUAGAUAUUACACAGAACACCGAUUGCGUAGGCAGCUCACUAAACUGUUACUGACGCUCAGGCACGAAAGCGUGGGGAGCGAACAGGAUUAGAUACCCUGGUAGUCC
rnacentral:rRNA from 1 species